UGCCAGGUAGUGUAGUGGUAACAUACCACCCUUCACGAUAUCGCUCCGGCAAGUCGUUGUAUAGCUGUGCUACGAAGGGUGGUAUCGCAAGGUUCAAUCCUGCCCCGGCAA